GACGAACGCUGGCGGCACGCCUAACACAUGCAAGUCGAGCGGUUCGGAGAUUGGAACUGAGGGAUUAAGGAAUUAAUCUCUGAGCUCCAAUUUCCGGAUAGCGGCGGACGGGUGAGUAACACGUGAGGAACCUGCCUUUCAGAGGGGGAUAACGUUUGGAAACGAACGCUAAUACCGCAUGAAGUAUAUUUACGGCAUCGUAGAUAUACCAAAGGAGCAAUCCGCUGAAAGAUGGCCUCGCGGCUGAUUAGCUAGUUGGCGGGGUAACGGCCCACCAAGGCGACGAUCAGUAGCCGGACUGAGAGGUUGAACGGCCACAUUGGGACUGAGACACGGCCCAGACUCCUACGGGAGGCAGCAGUGGGGGAUAUUGCACAAUGGGCGAAAGCCUGAUGCAGCGAUGCCGCGUGGAGGAAGAAGGUCUUCGGAUUGUAAACUCCUGUCUUGAGGGACGAUAAUGACGGUACCUAAGGAGGAAGCUCCGGCUAACUACGUG
rnacentral:rRNA from 1 species